UACGAAGGGGGCUAGCGUUGCUCGGAAUCACUGGGCGUAAAGGGUGCGUAGGCGGGUUCUUAAGUCAGAGGUGAAAUCCUGGAGCUCAACUCCAGAACUGCCUUUGAUACUGAGAGUCUUGGGUUCGGGAGAGGUGAGUGGAACUGCGAGUGUAGAGGUGAAAUUCGUAGAUAUUCGCAAGAACACCAGUGGCGAAGGCGGCUCACUGGCCCGAUACUGACGCUGAGGCACGAAAGCGUGGGGAGCAAACAGG
rnacentral:rRNA from 1 species